GAUGAACGCUAGCUACCUGCUUAAAACAUGCAAGUCGAGGGGCAGCAUGGGCUUAGCUUGCUAAGCCCGAUGGCGACCGGCGCACGGGUGAGUAACACGUAUCCAACCUGCCGAUCACUCCGGUACAGCCUUUCCAAAGAAAGAUUAAUCCCGGAUUGUAUGGCGAUUCCGCAUGGUUUCUCCAUUAAAGGUUUUUUCCGGUGAUCGAUGGGGAUGCGUUCCAUUAGGCAGUUGGCGGGGUAACGGGCCACCCAACCUACGAUGGAUAGGGGUUCUGAGAGGAAGGUCCCCCACAUUGCAACUGAGAACGGUGCAAACUCCUACGGGAGGCAGCAGUGAGGAAUAUUGGUCAAUGGGCGGAAGCCUGAACCAGCCAUACCGCGUGCAGGAAGGCGGCCUUAUGGGUUGUAAACUGCUUUUAUAUUGGGAUAAAGGGCUUGUCUAGGACAAGCAAUUGAAGGUACAGCAUGAAUAAGUAUCGGCUAACUCC
rnacentral:rRNA from 1 species